UUCCUGGGUGCUGAUCUUGGCAUGGUCCACACAAAGCCACAACAUUAUAGCCUCCACUGUUGUGGCCAUCCAAACACCAAUGGGUGAUUGGGUGGUCCUGCCUCGUCUAUAUGCUAGUGAUAAAUUACACAAGCAAACAAUCUGUAAUUCUGAAACUUGCUCUUCAACCAAAUAAAUACUAGUAUAGUAUACAUACAACAUUUGUCAAAAAAGAAGACAC
rnacentral:misc_RNA from 1 species